rnacentral:rRNA from 1 species
UACGUAGGUGGCAAGCGUUGUCCGGAUUCAUUGGGCGUAAAGCGCGCGUAGGCGGCUCGGAAAGUCGGUCGUGAAAUGCCGGGGCUCAACCCCGGGACUGCGUCCGAUACUCCCGAGCUGGAGGCAGGUAGGGGAGAUCGGAAUUCCUGGUGUAGCGGUGAAAUGCGCAGAUAUCAGGAGGAACACCGGUGGCGAAGGCGGAUCUCUGGGCCUUGCCUGACGCUGAGGCGCGAAAGCUAGGGGAGCGAACAGG